GAUGAACGCUGGCGGCGUGCCUAACACAUGCAAGUCGAACGGAGAUUACGGACGGAAGUUUUCGGAUGGAAGCCUGUAAUUCUUAGUGGCGGACGGGUGAGUAACGCGUGGGCAACCUGCCCUAUACAGGGGGAUAGCAGCUGGAAACGGCUGGUAAGACCGCAUAAGUCGGUUAAAUCGCAUGAUUUGAUCGGGAAAUGAGCAAUCAGGUAUAGGAUGGGCCCGCGUCCGAUUAGCCAGUUGGCAGGGUAAAAGCCUACCAAAGCGACGAUCGGUAGCCGGACUGAGAGGUCGAACGGCCACAUUGGGACUGAGACACGGCCCAAACUCCUACGGGAGGCAGCAGUGGGGGAUAUUGCACAAUGGAGGAAACUCUGAUGCAGCGACGCCGCGUGAGUGAAGAAGUAUUUCGGUAUGUAAAGCUCUAUCAGCAGGGAAGAUGAUGACGGUACCUGACUAAGAAGCCCCGGCUAACUACGUG
rnacentral:rRNA from 1 species